GCUUCGGACUCUAACAAGGGGAUUCUUUGGAGGUCAAAGCUCGCAUUUUUAUCCGCUGGAUCUGCAGGAACGACGACGAUGAUGCCGGCGCAUCCGGGCUCUUCGUCGACCUUCCCGUGCUGGAGGCCGACACUGCCGGCUUCUCCUGGAAUCUCUGUUGCUGCUCAAGGUGUUGCAUCUCCUCCGCGGUCUCCCUCCUCGGCUGCUGCGCCUCCUCCGCGGCUGGGCGCCAGGGCAGUUGGGAAUCAAACGAAGAGGUCAAGGGGAACCACAACGGUGAGACGCGACGCUAAGGAGUAAGACGGCCGGAUCUGGAGCUUAAGGCCCUUCACCGCGCUUGUGUUCGUCAGAUUGCAAGUAAGCCCUGGAGUUGUACAGAGGAGAGGAAGAGGCAGUCACUGAGGGCGUGCUACGUCUACGGGCUCAUCUUCUUCGCCAUCAACCCGCACAGAGUGGAGUGAAAUUGAGGUCUGGGACUACCACGAUUUAUACUGAGCCAAUGAUCUACUGUUGUCACCGUUGAGGAUCUGCUGCUGUUGCUUCUGUUGAGGGCCAAUGAUCUGCUACUGUUGAUGUUGAGGAUCUGUUGCUGUUGCUUCUGUUGAGGGCCAAUGAUUUGCUACUGUGGAUGUUGAGGAUCUGCUGCUGUUGCUUCUAUUGAGGGCCAAUGGUCUGCUGUUGAGGAUCUGCUGCCGAAGGCAAGGAGCUACAGUUGAGGAUCUGCUAGGCAAGGAGCACCGAGCCUGGAGGUGGUCACGCAUGAGAGGAGCUCCUGAUCUUCUCCCCUGGCCCCCGGUGAGCUGGACCUUGCUGGCGACACGGGGAAGAAGGGAGGUGGUUCUGGGCGAGCUUGACCUUGCCGGCGAAGUGCUGCUGGGGCCGGCGGCCGGCGAGGUGCCCUCCUGGGGCCGGCGGCAAGGUUCCUGGAUGAGCAGGAAGCUGGGCAGGGAGGAGGAGAUCCUGGGCGGAGGAAAAUCUGGGCGAGGUGGGCAGGAAGGAGAUCCCGGCGAGGUGGGGGGAGAAGCUGGGCGGCGAGCCGGCGACGCGCUGGGAGGCGAUGCACUUGGCGAAGCGAUCCCGAUGGUUUUUGAAUUUCAAGUUGAUGGAAGGGUAUUGUUGUCCAUUAGCGUUUUUGGGGGGCUGUCAGAAAUCUCCUUCCACGGCCUACAAAAGUGAACGGAGGGAGUACUAUUUUGUCUGGCGGAUAGUGCCGAUGGCAUCAUCCAUGUCUGUCGAAGUGGUGGUCACAUACUGCAGGUAUGCUAGCUCCUCACAAUAAAUACAUAAUUUUAAGUUUGUUACAGUUUAUGGAUGAAACUGGGAAUCACGUUCCACAAGCAUGCCUCAUAGUUAUGCAUAGUUUUUCUGUACAUAUGGUGUGCUGAACUCCUAUUUAAAGACGUUAUCAUUACCCAUCUGAUCCUUCUAUUUGUUAGUUGGUUUCCUGAAUAAAUCAGUUCAGACGAUUAAUUGAUUUGGAGUAGAACA